UACGUAGGGUGCGAGCGUUAAUCGGAAUUACUGGGCGUAAAGGGCUCGUAGGUGGCCAACUAAGUCAGACGUGAAAUCCCUCGGCUUAACCGGGGAACUGCGUCUGAUACUGGAUGGCUUGAGUUUGGGAGAGGGAUGCGGAAUUCCAGGUGUAGCGGUGAAAUGCGUAGAUAUCUGGAGGAACACCGGUGGCGAAGGCGGCAUCCUGGACCAACACUGACACUGAGGAGCGAAAGCCAGGGGAGCAAACGGG
rnacentral:rRNA from 1 species